ensembl:scaRNA small Cajal body-specific RNA 13
CUCCUGCGUGGCCCGAGAGGCGCCCUCGGUGGUCGGUACCGCGGGCGCGCGGCCGCGCAGGGAGAGCACGGAGGAAGCCGAGGCCCGCGCCCCCGAGCACUCGGAGCACGGGUGUGUUGUUCCUCCCACAGCACCGCUGUUGCCACGGGGGUAAUGACAUGGCCUGUGUCAUUAUUGAUCAGUCAACAGUAAGAGCAACUCUGCAGUCGGAUAUUGCUCAGCACGUUGAGUGGUGCCUGCUGAGCACUUGAAACUGCUAUAAAU